rnacentral:tRNA from 1 species
CAGGGAGACAACAAAAUGUUUAAUAUUAUUAUUUUGUCACCUUAGGUCGAUCGGUAUCUCACGUUCUUAACUAAUUAAGAAUUUCAAUUCCUAAGUUUUUCUAGGUCACACCCAUUAUUUUUCCUGGGCCAUUAGCUCAGGUGGUUAGAGCGCACCCCUGAUAAGGGUGAGGUCCCUGGUUCAAGUCCAGGAUGGCCCAUAUCUCUAUGUUGGGGGUAUAGCUCAGUUGGUAGAGCGCCUGCUUUGCAAGCAGGAUGUCAGCGGUUCGAGUCCGCUUACCUCCACUGAUUACCACCUCUUCCAUAAUCUGUAGAAAGGAAAUUUUUUGAGUUGUGAUCAACUUCUGAACGAAUCUAGCUUCCUAAUGAAAGCAUUAAGAUGCUGGACUCAUUGAAUUAAUUUCAUUGUUUUCAGAGAACCUUGACAACUGCAUAGAUUAUUUUUAAAGACAAUAAGCAUCUUUAAUGAUGCAGAUUUAUUAUUUGUGCAAAUGCAUUAAUAACAAUUCUAUUAAGCUGAUGCUUCAAUUUUGAAGUUAUU